GAAAUGCGAUAAGUAAUGUGAAUUGCAGAAUUCAGUGAAUCAUCGAAUCUUUGAACGCACAUUGCGCCCCCUGGUAUUCCGGGGGGCAUGCCUGUUCGAGCGUCAUUUUACCACUCAAGCCUCGCUUGGUAUUGGGCGACGCGGUCCGCCGCGCGCCUCAAAUCGACCGGCUGGGUCUUUCGUCCCCUCAGCGUUGUGGAAACUAUUCGCUAAAGGGUGCCGCGGGAGGCCACGCCGUAAAACAACCCCAUUUCUAAGGUUGACCUCGGAUCAGGUAGGGAUACCCGCUGAACUUAAGC
rnacentral:misc_RNA from 1 species